rnacentral:lncRNA from 1 species
UUAUAGAGACUAUCUCAGGAUGGAAAUGUAUCAAGGAAUUACUCAAAAGUUCAAUGAUCAAACUUCUGAUAUAACUCCUUUUCUAUUAAGAGCUGACAUCACUCAAUAUAUCUCAGGAUAGAAAUAUAUCUGAUAUUACUCAAAGGGUAGGUGAUGGUAGAUACUCACAACAGUAAUGACCUCGUAAAAUAUAUAAAAAUGACUAUCUACAUGCCAUCCGCGCAUUUGUUAUAAAAUGUGACAAUGAAAUACCUAAGCAAGGUUUGGUAUGAUAGAAACCAAAAGCAGGCCAUAGUAGUAAACUACAUGGUUGACCAUUAGAUAUAUAACUUUGUCCACACGCCUUCACCUGAUUUGCUUGAUAUAUAACUUUGUCUUUGUCCACACUCCUUCAUUUGAUUUGCUUGCAUGUUGUGACACACGGAUCUGCUAAAGGACAUAUCGGGUUAGCAAACUAUUCAAAUAGUGUGCCUCAUGGAUAGGGAGAAAAUAAUUUGGCCUAUAUGAAGGAGAGUCGCUUUGGACAAUAUUCAGUGAUGUGGAUAAAGUGUAACCUCUUUAACAUAAAAUAAUAUAAAAGAUAAGAGUAAAAAAAUUAUCUUACUAUUCUACAUGGCACCCAGAAAACAUAAUAAGCCUACUAUUCAUAGAUAUCCUCCAAGAUUUUCUUCACAAAACUUGAUUACACUAUGCGAUGAAGCAACCUAAAGGCAUCUCACCUUAUUAUGUGCCUAAUUAUUCAACACUGACAGAGGUUUCCAAAUUAGUGGUUUUGUUUUGGCAUAUAAAGAAACUGAAGUUCAUAAUAUAUAAAAGCAAAUUAAUAGAGAUUAGAUAUUGCAACCAUGAAUCCAAUCCUCUAGUGAUUACUCUCAUUCUAAAGUUAGAACAGACCAAUAAAAUUAGAUACUGCAACCAUGAAUCUCCUCUAGUGAAUACUCUCGUUCCAAAGUUAAACCAAAGAUGAGAGCUAAUUAUAUAUGCACAAGGCAUCCAGAGAAAUGAUCUGGUUGUUCAUAAAGUCAAAACCACUAUAUUGAUUCAACCAAGCAUGAUUCAAAUCAAACUACCCUUCAACCUCCGUCGUAGGACCUAUUGAGAUAUAAUGAUAUAAUGGCAGAACGAAAGGAAAAGAAAAGAAAAAAAAAGUAAAAUCAUCGUAAGAGCAUCGAAUUCAUAUCCUAAUCCACGGAAGCAUCAUGCAUAAAAAGUCUGUGCAUGAUGGAAAUGUAGAGACUAUAUAUCUCACUGGCGGACAUCCACAUAGUUUGAGGUAGAAGAAGCUCGUCGGCUAACAUUACCACAAGGAGGAGCUCAAGUUGGCCUUGGAACAGCCUAGUGUCACCGUGGAAGUCCAGAAGCAGUCCAAGCGGCGUUGCCACUAUGACCUUUAACUCUGCAAGAAGUGUCACACUCAUACAGAAAGAAGUUGUUCUCUUCCAUCCACAGAACACAAAAUAACAAAGGUAAAUAAGUUGUCUACUCAAAAUUCGGAACACUUCAUCUAAUAGGAUGACACAAACAGAAGGCCGUCGUGUAAAAAGCAAGUUCACUAAAUUCGGCAGAUGAUUAGUAAUUUAGCAUACUUGUAACCUCGCCAAUGGACAUACGCAUCCUCACAUUUAAAGAUUUUGCAUUAACAUAACCCAGUGUUAUAGUGAUAGUACGUUCCAACUCAUUCUUGAAAAAAAGAAACAUUGUACAGUUAAAAACGAAUAUCAAGCACAAGCACAAGCACAUGGAAAAGGACCACGUGGACAUUUUUUCCGUUUUAAGCUUGGAUCACCUAAACAUUGUUCUGUUUUGAGCUUGGACCACCUCAACAUUCACCACCAAAACAGAGAAGAGAAGGUUCCAAACAGAGCAAGUCAAGGAACAAAUUAUCCAAUUGUCUAUAUUCAUGGAUUAGAUGAUGCAAUAAUAAUAGUCAUGGAACUAUUUCUUUAAUGCAUAGGAAGCCAAAACAAUUCAUUAGCACUAUUCUCGAUCAAUUAUCUGAAGUCAUGGGACUAUUUUUUAAUGAACAUCUCAUUAGUGUAACUUAUAAAUCAAUAGAAACAAAUAAUAGGUGGAUCCAAAUAUGAAUGAGGAACCAAGCAGCUUUACUGUAUGCAAAUUAAAAGACUUCAACUCUGUACCCAAUGUUGAUCCUCGCUCUUGGCGUGAGAUAACUUCAGGUGAUAACGGGUGUAGCUUGGUAACACCAAGCUUGGUUAAAUCCUACUCCAUCAAUCAUCGGUGCCACACCAUUCUCUACCAUAAAAGUAGGGAGACAACACUAAAACAAAGAAGAGUAAAUGUUCCUUUCACUAACGGAUGAACUUUGCAAAUAACACUCAAAACGGGAUGAACAACAAUGGGAAAUUUUCUUCCAAGACUGCCGCAAAUCAUUAUGAAUCAUGGGCAUGUGUCAUGCACACACACAUGAUGUAUUUUUAUUAUUAUUGUGCACUAUUGCCCACUCCUCUAUAUAUCAUUAAGAACAGGUCACUAAAUCCUUGAUGGUUGGCACUAAGAUAAAGUCACAUGUUCAAAUUUUACUAACCUAAGGCAGUAAUUCAAACAGCCUGUUGAAGCCUUUUAUAGCAGGUCACUAAAUCCUUGAUGGUUGAAUCUAAAAAUAAUGAACCAUUAAAAAUGCAGCCCCACAAAAAGAUGUCACUCCCCAGCUUUAAUAGUUUCGGAAUAAAUUAACUCUUUUAUAACUCUUAUCUGAAGCAAAAGGAACCUGAACCACAGCAACACAAGCAAGAUCAUUAACUAAACAGCUCACUCCCAUCGCUAUACAUCGAACCGUAGGUUUAUAAAGAAUAAAUUUAUCUUUCCUAUACACAAAUAUCCAUCCAGCACAAAAUAUAACCUCUCACAAGAACAGUUUAUGUCUGGAAUAUUUGGACUGAUGUCAUAUUCAUGCAUCCAUGAUCAAAGCUCAAGUGUCAGUCUACAUGGAUUAAACCAGGGGAGCAUACCUCAAUAUCAUUUCAAGUAUACUAAUAGAAAAUAGCGGCCCAUUACAUUAGAAUUUAUGUAUAAUGGAUAAAAUCAAUUUGUUAUUUAUUUUACAGAACCAGUAGAGGAUGUCCAUAUAGAACAUGACAAGUAGAGUUGCCGAUCUGAGCUAAGAUGUGCACAAUCUGGAAAUGCAAAAUAUCUUAAGUCAUCCGGUUGUUUCCUGACUAACGGACUGCUAUUCUUCUCACAUAGCAAGUCAUUUUUUGUGUGUGAAUUCCAUUCAAUGAAAGAAUAUAGAAGGCUUAGAUAUGCUGUAUAUGCACUACUCAGUUUAUUUCGAAAGCAAAAAAAAAAGUGUGCUUGCAUGGUGGAUUACACAAAUCAAAUAGAUAACGGCAAUGAUGAAUCUUGGCAGGAAGUGCACUAACCAGUCCAGUAGCCGUGGAUGAACUUCGGGUAGGGAAACUGCAAUCGAAGUGAAUCCUUAUACCUGUAAAAUAUCAUCUCUGUCAAUAAAAAGAUGGGAAGCGAAAUAACAUUGAGGUCACAUCUGCGAAGGUAAUGAGAUACUCCAUCUGCUCGA